rnacentral:lncRNA from 1 species
AGCCACAGGAGAAGAAGCACCAAGAGCAAGAAGCGAAGCCAUCAGAGGUCCUGCACCUGACCUCACCUUUCCGCCUGCAGGUCUGACCAAGUUCCUUUGUGUUUCAGAGGGUCCUCCGCGGAAGGGCAGCUGAAUGGACUCCAAAGCAGCCUUAACCCUGCAGCCUUUGUGCCCAUCACCAGCUCUACAGAUCCUGCUCACACUAAAAUAUGAACCACAAACACACAGAGAAACAACCUGUUCACCACUCCUGGGUGCAUGAUUGAGGGUGAAGCAUCCACCAGCACUUCAAGGGGUCCAUAGUAUUUUUUUUUUUUUGCUGCCUCAAAGUCCCCAAAGCCUUCGAGCAGAAGUGGCAGUAGAUGGUUGCUAAUCAGCCAAUGCAGACUUUCACUGGGACAACAGGAAAGCAGAUCUUCUGGGUUUUGAUGGAACUUGGCAGUGGGGACAUUCAGCUGAUGCAUUAUAUACCCCGUCAGAGCACACUUGUAUCUUUUACCUUCCCUUUGCCCCAUGCCCCCAAACUGCUUAAGUCUUCUCUGUCCCUUUACUGCUGCUGCACAGAGAUGAUAUAAAAGAGGCUCUUUGGCUAUUUGCAUUUUGCUUCCUCUUCUUUUCCAGAUUACAGUAUGACGCUUUAUUUUCUUUGUACAAGCUUAAAAUUUCAACAUCAUCAUGCGCCAAAGUUGUUCCUCCCUUUUCGGAGGAUCUAGGGGGAAAGAGGAGCAUUCAUCACAAGUUUCCUAGAGAGAGGAGACAAAUCGGUGUGCUGUUGACAACAUGAGCCAGGG